rnacentral:rRNA from 1 species
GACGAACGCUGGCGGCGUGCUUAACACAUGCAAGUCGAACGAAGUGGCGAACGGGUGAGUAACGCGUAAUCAACCUGCCCUUCAGAGGGGGACAACAGUUGGAAACGACUGCUAAUACCGCAUACUGAUGGGGGGGUUUGCGGCUGCUUAGCUAGUUGGAGGGGAAACGGCUCACCAAGGCGAUGAUCAGUAGCCGGGCUGGGAGGAUGAACGGCCACAUUGGGGCUGAGACACGGCCCAGAAUCCUACGGGAGGCAGCAGUGGGGAAUCUUCCGCAAUGGACGAAAGUCUGACGGAGACACGCCGCGUGAGUGAGGAAGGCCUUCGGGUUGUAAAGCUCUGUUAAUCGGGACGCGGUACCGGAAGAGAAAGCCACGGCUAACUACGUGCCAGCAGCCGCGGUAAUUC